GAUGAAGAACGUAGCGAACUGCGAUAAGUAAUGUGAAUUGCAGAAUUCAGUGAAUCAUCGAGUCUUUGAACGCACAUUGCGCCCCCUGGCAUUCCGGGGGGCAUGCCUGUCCGAGCGUCAUUGCUGCCCUUCAAGCCCGGCUUGUGUGUUGGGUCGUCGUCCCCCCCGGGGGACGGGCCCGAAAGGCAGCGGCGGCACCGCGUCCGGUCCUCGAGCGUAUGGGGCUUUGUCACCCGCUCGAUUAGGGCCGGCNGGGCGCCAGCCGGCGUCUCCAACCUUCUAUUUUACCAGGUUGACCUCGGAUCAGGUAGGGAUACCCGCUGAACUUAAGCAUAUCAAUAAGCGGAGGA
rnacentral:misc_RNA from 1 species